rnacentral:misc_RNA from 1 species
CCAGAGAUGGUGGGCUCCGGCCCCCGUCCCCAACCCUUUGUUGAUCAAACCCUUUUGCCUCGGGGGCAGAGCGUCCGCCGCCGCUCCCGGAGGACCACCGAACGCUGUCUCUGUACGUCGGAGUAUUGAUUAAAUGAAUGA